AGUGCGUGCGCAAUGCGUACGCUUUUCAUACGCCUAAAAAGCAUGUGGAAUAAGAGCCGGGCAAGACCGGUGCCAGCCGCCGCGGUAACACCGGCGGCUCGAGUGGUGGCCGCUAUUAUUGGGCUUAAAGGGUCCGUAGCCGGACCAGUUAGUCCCUUGGGAAAUCUUACGGCUUAACCGUAAGGCUGCCAAUGGAUACUGCUGGUCUUGGGACCGGGAGAGGCAAGAGGUACCUCAGGGGUAGGAGUGAAAUCCUGUAAUCCUUGAGGGACCGCCAGUGGCGAAGGCGUCUUGCUAGAACGGGUCCGACGGUGAGGGACGAAAGCUAGGGGCACGAACCGGAUUAGAUACCCGGGUAGUCCUAGCCGUAAACGAUGCGAGCUAGGUGUCACGUGGAUUGCGAAUCCAUGUGGUGCCGUAGGGAAACCGUGAAGCUCGCCGCCUGGGAAGUACGGCCGCAAGGCUGAAACUUAAAGGAAUUGGCGGGGGAGCACA
rnacentral:rRNA from 1 species